GCCCGGCUAGCUCAAUCGGUAGAGCGUGAGACUCUUACAUGUCAUCUCAAGGCUGUGGGUACGACCCCCACGUCGGGCU